CGUGCUUAUACAACAUAUUAUAUUGGCUGUCUUUGCUUAUAAGCUUCGAUGUCUUAUUUUCUUCUCUUUUUUUACUAUUUGUGUAUAUUAUCAGUUUCUUCUAUUUCUUAAAAUUAAGCCAUGUUCUCUCUGUCAGAAGACGUCUCCUAUCAUUGCUAGUAAAACUGUAAAUAUUUCGUUUCUUGUUUCUGUCUCUUUUCCCCAAA
rnacentral:lncRNA from 1 species